AGCUUUGCACCGCUGCAGGAUCGCAGCCAAUGAGGUUUAUUCAAGGCGCGAUCACUGCUAAUUGAAAACAAAGAGCAGAUUACUACUGCUCGCCUGCAUGGGGGACAGAAGUGUCUCUUCUCUGCCCUUGCUCUCGGGC
ensembl:snRNA U4 U4 spliceosomal RNA